CCUGGGUGGAUGAAGUCAACUCCCCAAAGUUGCUGUCUCAGGAACACAUUAUAUCCGUGGCUGGACACACUAAGUGAGGGGUGUUUACAGGAUAGGGAAGAGAAGGUGUUUAUUUUCCUGGUGGUUCAGGGGGCUUUUCCUCAGGGUUUGUCGAUAUGCAAAUGAAUUUUGAAAUGCUUUUAAGAGUAUCCAGUGCCUAGCAAAGAAAUGAUUGGAUUGUUCACCAUAUGAGCAAAUGGCAAUUUGUAAGCCUGCCAACGCCGUUGUAACUUUAGAGAUCUCCGAAGAUUCGCUUUUACAUCUGUGAGAUUCUACCAUGAAUGGAAAUAAUAAUUUUCAUUAACUGAUGCACUGACUACAUUCUAUCAUAGAAAACAUGGCAGCUCUUCCAAUAGCUAGAAGAAUGCGUGGUUACCCUGGCAACAGCAUCUUAGUUCCUGCUUCCCGUACCACCUGGUGAUUUCAAGUGUAACAGCUGUGCAGCAUCUACAUUUCCAUUGAGGAAAUAAAAUGUACUCAUGCAUCAUCUCAUGGAGCAUUUCAGAAGAAACGAGCUUGCAA